rfam:Ajellomyces capsulatus H88 supercont1.17 mitochondrial scaffold, whole genome shotgun sequence.
AAUAAGUAUAUAAAGAGAUUAUUACGGAUAUCUGGCUAUAUAUUAAAGAUAGAUAUGAAAAAUUAAUAUCUAAUAUAAAUUUAAUAAUAAACAAAGUGAAUUGAAAUAUCUUAAUAACUUUAGGAAAAGAAAUCAAACGAGAUUUUAUUAUUAGUGUAUACUAAUAUAAAAAAGCUUAUAAGUAAAAUGGAAAAUAUCUGUUUGAAUAAAGGGGAACCUUCCUCUAAAGCUAAAUAUAAUAUAUAAGCGAUAGUGAAUAGUACCGUGAGGUAUAGAUAGAAAUAGUAAUUUUAUAAGCAGCUCAAAAAAAAUUUUAAAUAAAUAAUACGAGCGGACCUUUUGCAUAAUGGGUCAGCAAGUUAAACUUAGAUGCAAGCAAAUAAAAAUUAUUUGCCUAGAUAAACCAAUUAUGAGAAAAUGAUAAGUAUCUAAAUUUAGACCCGAAGGCUAGUGAUCUUACCAUGAUCAGGCUUAAGGCCGAACGGGUUAUCGUUGUAGAGAUAUCCGAUGAAUUGUGGUAAGUUGGUGAAAGACAAAACUGACUAGUAUAGCUGGUUUUCCGCGAAACCUAUGUGAGUAGGUAAUUUAAUUAACAUCUUAGCAGGUACAGAACUAGGAUCUCGGACAAUAUGUAAAUUUUGUACACAUCGGGGGAUCGUGAAGAUUUUAUCGGAGAGUAUUUGCACUCGAAAGGGCAAAGAUGAGUAUUGAAUAAUCGGACAUAGUACGAUAAGGUUGUAUGUCUAAAGGGAAACAGCCCUGAACAAGAGUUAUAAGGUUCCAAAAUUAUUAUUGAGUGAAAUUAAGGAUGUACUUAUCAAAUACAACCAGGAAAUAGGCUUAGAAGCGGCCAUUUUUUGAAGACCUCGUAACAGAGCACUGGUUAAUAAAAUUUCAUUUAGAUAGAUAUGUAUACCGAAAAUUUAACGGAUCUAAAUAAUAUACCGAAACCUUGUUCGUAUAUAUUAAUAUAUAAUAUUAUUUGUUUAAAUAUAUAUAUAUGAGGUAGCGGAACACUGGAUAAAUAUUAGAUUUUGUCUUUUUUAAGACAAAAAAUUAUAUAAGAAUCCAAGAGAGAAUGCUGGCAUGAGUAACGAAAAAGGAUUUAACAUCCUCGCCUUAAGCUUAUGGUAUUUUAUUUAAAUUUCGGUAUCUAAGUAGGAAGUAAAAUAAGUAAAAUGGUAAAUUGUUUGAAAAAAAACUUCUCCAAAUGGAUUCAAAUACGAUGAUAUAAAUAGAUUAGAGAAAAAACUUUUAUAAAGUGUUAAAGGUUCUGGAAAUUAAAUUUAAUCAAAUAAGCAAUUUUAAUUGCUCGGCGAAAUCCGAAACUAUCUAGACCGUACCUAAAUACUAACACAAGUAAGCAAGUAGAGUAUACAAAGGCGUUUGAGUGAAUAAUCAUUAAGGAACUCGGCAAAUUGACUCCGUAACUUCGGGAUAAGGAGGGCCGUUAUUACAGAAAAAUAUUUCUGUUAAAUAAGAGGAAACAUGAAAUAAUGUUGUACGACUGUUUAAUUAAAACAAAUCACUCUGCAAAGAUUAAAAAUCAAAGUAUUGAGUGUGAUGUCUGCCCAAUGUCGGUUGUAUAACUGAGAUACUUAAUUUAAAAGGUUAGGUUUUGAAGGACACUCCGAUCAAUGGCGGCCUUAUCUAUAAGGGUCCUAAGGUAGCGGAAUACCCUGGCCGUUAAAUGCGGUCUUGCAUGAAUGACUUAACGAUACAACAGCUGUCUCGAUGAUUAGCUCAGUGAAAUUGGAAUAGCGGUGCAGAUACCGCUUAACUCUAGGUAGACGAGAGUGCGACUAGUAAAGUGUUUAAUAA